AAAUAUUUGGGUUUACUCUCCCACUGUGGAUGCUCUUAGGACAGUGCUUUUGCAUGACCAACAGAACCCAUCAGUCUCAGUCUCAGAAUGAUUGUUUUCAGAAGAAAAAUCUCAAGCUACAGAGUGUAUGAUAGAAGCAGGAGACGAGAUACAAAGAUUGCGAUUACAGAAAAUCUGAAGAUAAGGAAGAAGCAGUGUCUCUAUAUAUUUUCAAGGUGGAUCCCCACUUUCUGGAGAAUGAGAAGCGUUCUGAAGCGUGGCAUGCUUCGGUGACGAGGCAUCUGAUUAAGAAGAGGCUCUGAAGCACCCUUGGGUGGUGAGGAUGAUGAACCUGACGCGGAGGAUGAGGACAAGGAGGCAGUGAGGUACAGGAUGAAACAGAGACGAGUCUUGUGAACUUAAGGAGGACAAUGUACCUCACUUUCAUGUGUAGUGUAGACUUUGAGGAAGCUGGUCACAAACUGCUAAAAAUUAAGCUUGAGCCAGGUCAAGAGAUGGAACUAUGCAUAAUGCUGUUAGAGUGUUGCAGUCAGGGGAGAACCUAUCUUCAGUAUUAUGGUCUCUUAGGGCAGCACUUUUGCCUGAUCAACAGAAUCUAUCAGGAGAAUUUUGAAAAGUGUUUUGUCCAGUAGUAUUCGAUGAUUCAUAGGCUCGAAACUUAUAAGCUGUGUCGCCAAACUCUUCGCUCUCUACCUUGACAUGUUUUGGCUUGUAUCUUCUUGACAGAGGAUGAUACCACCUUGUCUUCACAUAUCAUCAUAAAAAUUCUAUUCCAGGAGUUGUCUGAGCACCUUGGUAUCAGGUUGUUGAAUGAGCGGCAUACUGAACACAGCAUGCAGGAUUCUUUUGAGUCCAUCUUCCUUGGGAAUAAUCCUAAAAACACCAGAUUCUCCAUUAACUUUUUUUAGUUUGAGUUCUGUUUGAGAAUCUGAGUCUUCUUCUUCAAGUUCUGAGAGCGAAGGACAUAGGAAGAAACAACGUCACAAGAGACGAAGGAGGGAUUAAAUUGGAUAACCUAUUUGAGUCAUGGUGGUAUGAUCCAGGAUAUGCCUUGUCACAGUGAGUUGACACUUCACUCUUUGCUAGGGAUAAUGCUGAGUCAAGAGUUAUUAGUUCUUACAGUUCACUCGUUGUGGUUAUUAAACAGUUUCUCAUUCUUGGCAAACCUGUGUUUAGUUUUAAAAAGUAACAUGGCAUCUGCAUCGCGGAGCUGAAACUUCAACAAUAUCUGCUGUUUGAGUGUUUGAAACGUCUACCUUGUUUGACAGAAUCCAGGUAUAGAGCUUUGCUAAUGGCUGUAAGAGUAGCAAAGCUUGCUCUUCUUACUGUCAAUAAGCUUGUACACUUGAGAGAGACUUCUUUGAAAUGACAAUCUGUUUUAUUUUUUUGACACAAUUUUCACCAGUGUGUAUUCUAUCUAUGGUUAGCAGAUCAUUCAGUAAUUUCAUUUGUAAUAGUAAGUCAUAAAUUUUAUUUUAUUUUUAUCUGUUGUUAC